UGGCUAACUCCUACGGGAGGCAGCAGUGGGGAAUUUUGGACAAUGGGGGCAAACCUGAUCCAGCAAUGCCGCGUGAGUGAAGAAGGCCUUCGGGUGGUAAAGCUCUUUGGUAGGGGAAGGAACGGUAGUAGCUAAUAACUAUCACGAAUGACGGUACCUGAAGAAUAAGCACCGGCUAACUACGUGCCAGCAGCCGCGGUAAUACGUAGGGUGCAAGCGUUAAUCGGAAUUACUGGGCGUAAAGCGUGCGCAGGCGGUUGUGUAAGUCAGAUGUGAAAUCCCCGGGCACAACCUGGGAAUUGCAUUUGAGACUGCACGGCUAGAGUGUGUCAGAGGGGGGUAGAAUUCCACGUGUAGCAGUGAAAUGCGUAGAUAUGUGGAGGAAUACCGAUGGCGAAGGCAGCCCCCUGGGAUAACACUGACGCUCAUGCACGAAAGCGUGGGGAGCAAACAGGAUUAGAAACCCCGGUAGUCCAGCUGG
rnacentral:rRNA from 1 species